rnacentral:rRNA from 1 species
CCUACGGGGGGCAGCAGUGAGGAAUAUUGGUCAAUGGUCGGGAGACUGAACCAGCCAAGCCGCGUGAGGGAGGAAGGUACAGAGUAUCGUAAACCUCUUUUGUCAGGGAACAAAGACUGGGACGCGUCCCCGGAUGAGUGUACCUGAAGAAAAAGCAUCGGCUAACUCCGUGCCAGCAGCCGCGGUAAUGCGUAGGGGGCAAGCGUUAUCCGGAAUUACUGGGUGUAAAGGGAGCGUAGACGGUGAAGUAAGUCUGGAGUGAAAGGCGGGGGCCCAACCCCCGGACUGCUCUGGAAACUAUUUGA